AGCAGGAUAGCGCAGCCCGGCAGGCAUGCGGUUCAUACCCGCAAGGUCAUCGGUUCAAAUCCGAUCCCUGCAA
rnacentral:tRNA from 1 species